rnacentral:rRNA from 1 species
CCUACGGUUGGCAGCAGUGAGGAAUAUUGGUCAAUGGACGCAAGUCUGAACCAGCCAUGCCGCGUGCAGGAAGACGGCUCUAUGAGUUGUAAACUGCUUUUGUACGAGGGUAAACGCAGAUACGCGUAUCUGUCUGAAAGUAACGUACGAAUAAGGAUCGGCUAACUCCGUGCCAGCAGCCGCGGUAAUACGGAGGAUUCAAGCGUUCUCCGGAUUGAGGGGGUUGAAAGGGUGCGUAGGCGUUCGGCUAAGUUAGAGGUGAAAUCCCGCGGCUCAACUUCGGACUUGCCUCUGAUACUGUUCGGCUAGAGCGUAGUUGCGGUAGGCGGAAUGU